rnacentral:rRNA from 1 species
CCUACGGGUGGCAGCAGUGAGGAAUAUUGGUCAAUGGGCGUAAGCCUGAACCAGCCAAGUCGCGUGAGGGAUGAAGGUUCUAUGGAUCGUACACCUCUUUUAUAUGGGAAUAAAGUGUGGGACGUGUCCUGUUUUGUAUGUACCUUAUGAAUAAGGAUCGGCUAACUCCGUGCCAGCAGCCGCGGUAAUACGGAGGAUCCGAGCGUUAUCCGGAUUUAUUGGGUUUAAAGGGUGCGUAGGUGGCCUUUUAAGUCAGCGGUGAAAGUUUGUGGCUCAACCAUAGAAUUGCCGUUGAAACUGGGAGGCUUGAGUAUGUUUGAGGCAGGCGGAAUGCGUGGUGUAGCGGUGAAAUGCUUAGAUAUCACGCAGAACCCCGAUUGCGAAGGCAGCCUGCCAGGCCAUGACUGACGCUGAUGCACGAAAGCGUGGGGAUCAAACAGGAUUAGAUACCCCUGUAGUC